rnacentral:tRNA from 89 species
GGGGGUAUAGCUCAGUUGGUAGAGCGCCAGCUUUGCAAGCUGGAUGUCCGGGGUUCGAGUCCCCGUGCCUCCACCA